ensembl:lncRNA
CAACUUUUGCAUUUUAAUGUAAACAAUCAUAUUUCGUAAUAUUUUGGGUCAGAAACAUUUCAUAGUACUAUAUUAUGUGUAAAUGUGUGAAAAGAAUCAAAUUGGAGUAGGUCGGGCAACUGAUUAUAUGAGUUUGUUAGAAAAACCACUUUCCUUUGCUCCUAGCGCCUUCUAGUUCGCUGUAUAGCGUUUUGAGCGGAUAAAGAGCACAAGUGUGUAAGGGGACACAGGAUGAAUGUGAACUAGAUUUCUUAUUGUACUUUUGAUGAAAAGUGACUUUCUAGACAUAAAAUGUCACUUUUUUCACCUUAUCAUACUUUUUCAUCAACUUUUGCAUUUUAAUGUAAACAAUCAUAUUUGUAAUAUUUUGGGUCAGAAACAUUUCAUAGUACUAUAUAAUGUGUAAAUAUGCGACAAGAAUCAAAUUGGAGUAGGUCGGGCAACUGAUUAUAUGAGUUUGUUAGAAAAACCACUUUCCUUUGCUCCUAGCGCCUUCUAGUUCGCUGUAUAGCGUUUUGAGCGGAUAAAGAGCACAAGUGUGUAAGGGGACACAGGAUGAAUGUGAACUAGUUUUGUUAUUGUACUUUUGAUGAAAAGUCACUUUCUAGACAUAAAAUGUCACUUUUUUCACCUUAUCAUACUUUUUCAUCAACUUUUGCAUUUUAAUGUAAACAAUCAUAUUUGUAAUAUUUUGGGUCAGAAACAUUUCAUAGUACUAUAUAAUGUGUAAAUAUGCGACAAGAAUCAAAUUGGAGUAGGUCGGGCAACUGAUUAUAUGAGUUUGUUAGAAAAACCACUUUCCUUUGCUCCUAGCGCCUUCUAGUUCGCUGUAUAGCGUUUUGAGCGGAUAAAGAGCACAAGUGUGUAAGGGGACACAGGAUGAAUGUGAACUAGUUUUGUUAUUGUACUUUUGAUGAAAAGUCACUUUCUAGACAUAAAAUGUCACUUUUUUCACCUUAUCAUACUUUUUCAUCAACUUUUGCAUUUUAAUGUAAACAAUCCUAUUUCGUAAUAUUUUGGGUCAGAAACAUUUCAUAGUACUAUAUUAUGUGUAAAUAUGUGAAAAGAAUCAAAUUGGAGUAGGUCGGGCAACUGAUUAUAUGAGUUUGUUAGAAAAAAACACUUUCCUUUGCUCCUAGCGCCUUCUAGUUCGCUGUAUAGCGUUUUGAGCGGAUAAAGAGCACAAGUGUGUAAGGGGACACAGGAUGCAUGUGAAUAAGUUUUGUUAUUGUACUUUUGAUUCAAAGUGACUUUCUAGACAUAAAAUGUCACUUUUUUCACCUUAUCAUACUUUUGCAUUUUAAUGUAAACAAUCAUAUUUCGUAAUAUUUUGGGUCAGAAACAUUUCUUAGUACUAUAUUAUGUCUAACUAUGUGAAAAAAAUCAAAUUGGAGUAGGUCGGGCAACUGAUUAUAUGAGUUUGUUAGAAAAACCACUUUCCUUUGCUCCUAGCGCCUUCUCGUUCGCUCUAUAGCGUUUUGAGCGGAUAAAGAGCACAAGUGUGUAAGGAGACACAGGAUGUAUGCGAACUACUUUUGUUAUUGUACUUUUGAUGAAAACUGACUUUCUAGACAUAAAAUGUCACUUUUUUCACCUUAUCAUACUUUUUCAACAACUUUUGCAUUUUAAUGUAAACAAUCAUAUUUCGUAAUAUUUUGGGUCAGAAACAUUUCUUAGUACUAUAUUAUGUCUAACUAUGUGAAAAAAAUCAAAUUGGAGUAGGUCGGGCAACUGAUUAUAUGAGUUUGUUAGAAAAACCACUUUCCUUUGCUCCUAGCGCCUUCUCGUUCGCUCUAUAGCGUUUUGAGCGGAUAAAGAGCACAAGUGUGUAAGGAGACACAGGAUGAAUGCGAACUACUUUUGUUAUUGUACUUUUGAAGAAAACUGACUUUCUAGACAUAAAAUGUCACUUUUUUCGCCUUAUCAUACUUUUUCAACAACUUUUGCAUUUUAAUGUAAACAAUCAUAUUUCGUAAUAUUUUGGGUCAGAAACAUUUCUUAGUACUAUAUUAUGUCUAACUAUGUGAAAAAAAUCAAAUUGGAGUAGGUCGGGCAACUGAUUAUAUGAGUUUGUUAGAAAAACCACUUUCCUUUGCUCCUAGCGCCUUCUCGUUUGCUCUAUAGCGUUUUGAGCGGAUAAAGAGCACAAGUGUGUAAGGAGACACAGGAUGAAUGCGAACUACUUUUGUUAUUGUACUUUUGAUGAAAACUGACUUUCUAGACAUAAAAUGUCACUUUUUUCACCUUAUCAUACUUUUUCAUCAACUUUUGCAUUUUAAUGUAAACAAUCAUAUUUCGUAAUAUUUUGGGUCAGAAACAUCUCUUAGUACUAUAUUAUGUCUAACUAUGUGAAAAAAAUCAAAUUGGAGUAGGUCGGGCAACUGAUUAUAUGAGUUUGUUAGAAAAACCACUUUCCUUUGCUCCUAGCGCCUUCUCGUUCGCUCUAUAGCGUUUUGAGCGGAUAAAGAGCACAAGUGUGUAAGGGGACACAGGAUGAAUGUGAACUAGAUUUGUUAUUGUACUUUUGAUGAAAAGUGACUUUCUAGACAUAAAAUGUCACUUUUUUCACCUUAUCAUACUUUUUCAUCAACUUUUGCAUUUUAAUGUAAACAAUCAUAUUUCAUAAUAUUUUGGGUCAGAAACAUUUCUUAGUACUAUAUUAUGUCUAACUAUGUGAAAAAAAUCAAAUUGGAGUAGGUCGGGCAACUGAUUAUAUGAGUUUGUUAGAAAAACCACUUUCCUUUGCUCCUAGCGCCUUCUCGUUCGCUCUAUAGUGUUUUGAGCGGAUAAAGAGCACAAGUGUGUAAGGAGACACAGGAUGCAUGCGAACUACUUUUGUUAUUGUACUUUUGAUGAAAACUGACUUUCUAGACAUAAAAUGUCACUUUUUUCACCUUAUCAUACUUUUUCAUCAACUUUUGCAUUUUAAUGUAAACAAUCAUAUUUCGUAAUAUUUGGACAUAAUAUAGCACUAAGAGAUGUUUCUGACCCAAAAUAUUACGAAAUAUGAUUGUUUACAUUAAAAUGCAAAAGUUGAUGAAAAAGUAUGAUAAGGUGAAAAAAGUGACAUUUUAUGUCUAGAAAGUCAGUUUUCAUCAAAAGUACAAUAACAAAAGUAGUUCGCAUUCAUCCUGUGUCUCCUUACACACUUUAACCCUAA